UAGCCACAAGCAAGUCCCUGUAAGGUCAAGUCUGGCUCUUCCUGUUGGGUCUGCCAUUGACUAUGACUGCUUCAGAUCCAAGUCCACAGAUCCUAUCUGUAAACUCUAACCAGGAUCAUAUUUUAACUAUCACAUCUCAGCAGAAUGGAACUUUGCUUUCACAUUCUCUUUCACUAGAUGUCUCCAAAUACCAACUAAAAGGACAUUUUCCAUCCACAGAAGCAAGCAGCAAGGGUUCAAGCUUGAGCCCACUAGGAAUGGCAGCCCCGUCUAUGAAAGAAAGACAGGCUUGCUGGGGAGCCCGGGAUGAAUACUGGAAGUGUUUAGAUGAGAACACAGAGGACGCUUCUCAGUGCAAGAAGUUAAGAAGCUCAUUUGAAUCCAGUUGUCCCCAGCAGUGGGGCUGUUCGCGCUCAGCCUGCUCCCUCCCCACCUGUGUGCUCUGCUCAGGGAUUGCCUGUUGACGUCUUCCCCGGUAGCCAGAGACGAGAAACGGAAAGAUUUUUCCAGAGCCGUGUGAGAAGAUAAAAUAUUUUGAUAAAAGAAGAGACUACUUAAAGUUCAAAGAAAAAUUUGAAGCAGGACAAUUCCAGCCUUCAAAAACACCUGCAAAGUCCUAGGCUGCUCCUGAACUUCUCAGAAGGUUUGAAUCAUGGUAAACAGCGUGACUUGGUCCACAUAAACAACUCUUUAAAAUGAUCAAGUAACAGAGAUUCCAUCAUUCAAACUAUGAAGAAUCAAAAUGGUAUGAAAGAUGCUUAGUUUUAGUUUAGUAAGGAAGCUAUAUUUUAAGGAAAAUUAAAGCCUAUUAUAAAAACCCA